UACGAAGGGUGCUAGCGUUGUUCGGAAUCACUGGGCGUAAAGCGCGCGUAGGCGGCUUUUCAAGUCAGGGGUGAAAUCCCACAGCUUAACUGUGGAACUGCCUUUGAAACUGUAAAGCUAGAGUGUCGGAGGGGAUAGCGGAAUUGCUAAUGUAGAGGUGAAAUUCGUAGAUAUUAGCAGGAACACCGGUGGCGAAGGCGGCUAUCUGGACGACAACUGACGCUGAGGCGCGAAAGUGUGGGGAUCAAACAGG
rnacentral:rRNA from 1 species